rnacentral:rRNA from 1 species
UACAGAGGGUGCGAGCGUUGCCCGGAAUUAUUGGGCGUAAAGAGCUCGUAGGCGGUCUGUCGCGUCGAAUGUGAAAACCCGGGGCUCAACCCCGGGCCUGCAUUCGAUACGGGCAGACUAGAGUUCGGUAGGGGAGUCUGGAAUUCCUGGUGUAGCGGUGAAAUGCGCAGAUAUCAGGAGGAACACCGGUGGCGAAGGCGGGACUCUGGGCCGAUACUGACGCUGAGGAGCGAAAGCGUGGGGAGCAAACAGG